rnacentral:rRNA from 1 species
GAUGAACGCUGGCGGCGUGCUUAACACAUGCAAGUCGAACGAAGAAACCUUGAAUGAGAGCUUCGGCAGGAUUUCUUGGUAUCUUAGUGGCGGACGGGUGAGUAACGUGUGGGCAACCUGCCCUAUACUGGGGAAUAAUCACUGGAAACGGUGACUAAUACCGCAUGUCAUCACCGAGGGGCAUCCCUUGGUGAAAAAAGGAGUAAUUCGGUAUAGGAUGGGCCCGCAUCUGAUUAGCUAGUUGGUGAGAUAACAGCCCACCAAGGCGACGAUCAGUAGCCGGACUGAGAGGUUGAACGGCCACAUUGGGACUGAGAUACGGCCCAG